UCCUCUGUAGUUCAGUCGGUAGAACGGCGGACUGUUAAUCCGUAUGUCACUGGUUCGAAUCCAGUCAGAGGAGCCA
rnacentral:tRNA from 23 species